rnacentral:rRNA from 1 species
UACGGAAGGUCCAGGCGUUAUCCGGAUUUAUUGGGUUUAAAGGGAGCGUAGGCCGUGGAUUAAGCGUGUUGUGAAAUGUAGACGCUCAACGUCUGAAUUGCAGCGCGAACUGGUUCACUUGAGUAUGCGCAACGUAGGCGGAAUUCGUCGUGUAGCGGUGAAAUGCUUAGAUAUGACGAAGAACUCCGAUUGCGAAGGCAGCUUACGGGAGCACAACUGACGCUGAAGCUCGAAGGUGCGGGUAUCAAACAGG